UACGUAGGUGGCAAGCGUUAUCCGGAUUUAUUGGGCGUAAAGGGAACGCAGGCGGUCUUUUAAGUCUGAUGUGAAAGCCUUCGGCUUAACCGGAGUAGUGCAUUGGAAACUGGGAGACUUGAGUGCAGAAGAGGAGAGUGGAACUCCAUGUGUAGCGGUGAAAUGCGUAGAUAUUAGGAGGAACACCAGUGGCGAAGGCGGCUUACUGGACGGCAACUGACGCUGAGGCUCGAAAGCGUGUGGAGCAAACAGG
rnacentral:rRNA from 1 species